rnacentral:lncRNA from 1 species
AGGAGGAAUGUGCACAUCAACGACAAUGUCCUGCAUUCUGCCUUCGAGGUGGGCGUCUGCAAGGUGGUCUCCUGCCUGUCCACCUGUAUCUUCCCUGACAAGACCACCUACCCUAUUGAUGAGACCAUGGUGAGGGGGGCCUAUGUGGGGUAGGACUUGGUCUGUGGGUGGAACCUGGAAGUGGGAGCCUCAGUGCAUCUUUUGCUCCCAUAGAUCCACAAUGGGCCACCCCACAACAGCAAUUUUGGGUACUCCUACGCCAAGAGGAUGAUUGACGUGCAGAACAGGUCCUCCUCUGCUGUCUUGGCCAGGCCUAACCAGGAGUGGGGGAGGGCUUAAGCUCUGGUGGUGGGGCUAGCUGGGUGGCUGCCUUCUUGAGUCUGGUGUUUACAUCUGUGAGAGACCAGCUGUGGGUGGGGUCUGUGUCCUGGGAUGAGGCAGGAGACCCUGGGCCUCUGCAGGGCCUACUUUCAGCAGCAUGGCUGCACAUUCACCGCGGUCAUCCCCACCAACGUCUUUGGGCCCCACGACAACUUCAACAUCGAAGACGGCCAUGUGCUGCCCGGCCUUAUCCACAAGGUGCACCUGGCGAAGAGUGAGUGCGGCUGCCCAGCCCGUGCCAUCCAGGGUUCCCAGGGUUCUGGCCUGACGGGGUCCCUGGGCUCCCAUCUAGACAGCUCAUGGCAGCUGGAGUGCUACUGACAAUUGCUCUUGCCCCUAAUCUGCAGGCAGUGGCUCUGCCCUGACAGUGUGGGGUACAGGGAAGCCACGGAGGCAGUUCAUCUACUCGCUGGUGUGUAUAAGGCUGGCCUGCUGGGUUGAUGGGGAGGCAGUGGCAUGAGGGGGUCUGGGUAGAGUCCCUGGGGGUGCCUGGGAGUCCCUGGUCCAGCUGUGAGCUCAGAAAGAGAAAGGGCUGCCUGGAGGAGGAACCCCAUACCCUCCUGGGUGAGCCAUGGCUGUGCCCCCAGUGAGCAGAGAUAGCAGUGUGGCCCCCUGGCUCCCUCAUCUGACUGUCACUGUGGGCUCUGACCUGCCUGCCUGCCUGACCUCCAGGACUUGGCCCGGCUCUUCAUCUGGGUCCUACGGGAGUACAGUGAGGUGGAGCCCAUCAUCCUCUCAGGUUGGCACCACGGCCCCCACACCCAUUCCUACAGUGGGACAAGACCCAGUUUGUCUUUGAGGGCUGGCAGAGGAGUGGGGGCAGAAUACCCACGGGAGGCUGGUAGGAAGCCUAAUAGGCCACUGCCCAUUGCUCCCACAGUGGGCGAGGAAGAGGAGGUCUCCAUCAAGGAGGCAGCUGAGGCUGUGAUGGAGGCCAUGGGCUUCCACGGGGAAGUCACCGUAUCCUUUGGGGCACUCUAGAGGAACUGAAGCCCAGGUGGGACACUCGGCCUAACACCAUUUUGUUGCCUGGUGGUACUUGCCCUGGCAGCUGGAGGGGGGUCUGUCUUGGCCAGGCUCCCUCCCCAGGAAAGGCAGGUUUAAGGUAGCGAGGAGGGGGGGUGUACCUUCUGCUGUGGCCUUGACCAAGGUGCCUAGUAUGAUACAACCAAGUCAGACGGGCAGUUUAAGAAGACAGCCAGCAACACCAAGCUUCGGGGCUACCUACCUGACUUCCGGUUCACACCUUUCAAGCAGGGUGAGCCCCUCCCCCUCCAGUGUCCUCCCCUUGGCAACCUCCUAUCCCCCGGCCCCUCCUUGGCUUUGGACCCUCCUCCACUGCUCCUCCCUUUUGCUCCUUGCUGUGGCUUCUGCUUUCCUACUGUGAUGUGGAGGUGGGGUGCUCUGCAGAUUUGGUCACCAGGCCUGGUCACCUGGGAAUCAGGGCGUUGCAGCUUGGAGGAAGUGACUUCCCUGUGUCCCUGGGACCUGUACCCUCCCUGGGUCCUGUAGGUCACUGUGGUCUUGGCCCUCACCUGCUCACCAGCCCUCACUUGUCCACCUGCAGCUGUAAAGGAGACCUGUGCCUGGUUCACUGACAACUAUGAGCAGGCUCGGAAGUAAAGCUGUGCAGACGUGCAGGCACUCAGCUGGCAAAGCCCAGUGCCCACCACCUUCAGACCUUGCCAGGAACCAAGGACGCUGCUCAGCAACCCGGGGCCACGUCCCCUUGCCUCUGCCAGGGGUUCCAGGCGGUUGUCCAGUUGGGAGCCAUUUGUCAAGAGGCUCAUUCUUGUGUGAGUCAAGGCCUGUCCCUGCCUGGGACCUCACCCCCCACCGCCCUGGCCUCAGUGCACUCUGGGCCUCAGUGCACUCAGUGCUUUGUCUGGGGGCCGGUAAAGUACGUUUCCA